UGAUUGUGAAAAUCUCUGAUAAACAGGGCAGGUUUGUCCUCCAGAAUCUCUCUGUUGCUGCGUGUGAUUGUGCGGUUUCACCAAACUGUCUGAUGGAGCGCAACACACAGCAAAAAGUGGGAAGUGGCUUGAUAGGAAUUACCAUUCUUGCCGCGCUGAUGAUAUUUGCAUGUCUGUUGCUGUCUCUCAUUUGCUCUUGUGGGACUGUGAAGUCUCUGGUGCAGGUAGACAAUGUCUUAGAAGAUGCCCUUCUGCCUUCUAACAUCGAGAAACCUGGCACUGAUUGUGUGGUAAAACCUUAUAUUAAGAUCUCUUAUGAAAAGCUAAAUGGCCCUUUCACAGUGAGGUCUAAUACAAAGAUAACAAAUGAAUGUUCUACUCUAUUUUUUUUACAUUCAUAAAGGUCCCGACUAUUCUAUUAAAGAAGGCAUCUGUUAGUCACUCAAAGGAUGCAACUUUUGUCAGUAAUGGGGUUCAACAGACAACUGACAUUCAGGGGGUAUCUAGCAAAAUUAUAGCCACUCAUAGUCUCCCAGUUCAAAUGGAUGAGUGCUGGUCUAGAGACAGAUCACAGUGUUAUUCCAGUGAGAACCAGACAUGGAUGUGGAAACAGUAUCAGAGUGAAAACCGCUACCAGGGUUCAACAUUUAGCAGGAGGAGCUCACAAAGAAGACAGGGUACCUAUUUCAUCAGCAGCUCAACUCUACAAAGUUUGCUCUCUCAGAGAUUGCAUUCAAUACAGGGCCUAGAAAAUGAAUUGCUUGAUUACGAACCUCAGCUUUACGCAGUUGAGGACAACUCUGAUCAUUUUUUAGACCUGGACCCCAUAGACCUGCCUACGAAUGAGUUUGAUCCUGAGUUGCUCUCAGACCUCGGACCAGCAUUUAAGCAUCUGGCUUCUAUCUGUAACCCAGGGACACUGUCAAAACCAGAAGUGAUGAAGAAUGGGAUCAGAUAGUCUAGUGAUGAAGAUGAGGAUGAAGAUGUUUGUAAUGUGGGGUUUGGUGUUUGGGUUUUGUUUCAUGUUCAUGUUUUCAUGUCUUUUAUUUUGUAAUUGUUUCCUGAUGUUAGUGUCAUGCUUCCCUUGCCUCAUGUCUCUCUGCC
rnacentral:lncRNA from 1 species